ACUCGAGUGGCGAGCGGGUGAGUAACACGUGGGUGAUCUGCCCUGCACUUCGGGAUAAGCUUGGGAAACUUGGUCUAAUACCGGAUAGGAGCCAUCUUUAGUGUGGUGGUUGGAAAGUUUUUCGGUGUAGGAUGAGCUCGCGGCCUAUCAGCUUGUUGGUGGGGUAAUGGCCUACCAAGGCGGCGACGGGUAGCCGGCCUGAGAGGGUGUACGGCCACAUUGGGACUGAGAUACGGCCCAG
rnacentral:rRNA from 1 species